rnacentral:lncRNA from 1 species
CUUCCAAGAAAAAAGUACUAACCAUAACGAAACUGAACAGAUCAAUUACUUCCGGACAACAAAGAAAUAAAAGAUUACAAUUUCGUAUGCUUGCUGGCAUGUUUUCGUGAUCCCUAAAACAUGCAGGUAAACUUGAUUCGCAAGAAAUUUAUUAAUUUGCAGAAGAGGGCCGUAAAGAUUCUGCGUUUGAUGGCUCCUGAUCGAACCGGAGUCACGAAAGGGUAUGGUUUGAAUUUGCUGCUAAUCUGAGAAAAUUUAAAGUCGGUAUGAUCAGAAUUGAUGAACUCCUUGGUCUUGUAAUUCAUCCCAUUCUGCUCCAUAUCUAUGGGGAAUGUUAUAACUUAUAAUCAGGAUUUAUCAACUCCUUAGUCACCGCGUGUUUGAGAUAG